GAUGAAGAACGUAGCGAAAUGCGAUAAGUAGUGUGAAUUGCAGAAUUCAGUGAAUCAUCGAAUCUUUGAACGCACAUUGCGCCCCAUGGUAUUCUGUGGGGCAUGCCUGUUCGAGCGUCAUUUACCCCCUCAAGCUCCGCUUGGUGUUGGGCGUCUGUCCCGCUUCGCGCGCGGACUCGCCCCAAAGGUAUUGGCAGCGGUCGUGCCAGCUUCUCGCGCAGCACAUUGCGCUUCUCGAGGCACCGGUGGGCCCGCGUCCAUCAAGCUCACCCCCCCAGUUUGACCUCGGAUCAGGUAGGGAUACCCGCUGAACUUAAGCAUAUCAAUAAGCGGAGGA
rnacentral:misc_RNA from 1 species